rnacentral:lncRNA from 1 species
GCGCUAAUGAUUUUCAUAACAAUGUUAAAUCGACAAGAGUACGACUCAGGAUAUUUUCUUGGGUCAAAUAACUUAUUCAUUACUAAGAGAAACAAAUAGCCAAGCACAAGAGAGAUUCCCCUUGGAUAAUCGCUCUGCCACUCAUCUGGCUAUAGAAUUCUUAGUUUUACAAACAGAACCAAAGUUCACAAAAAAAAUAAAUAACGGAGUCUCUCCUUUGCUN